AGUGAACGCUGGCGGUAGGCCUAACACAUGCAAGUCGAACGGCAGCACAGUAAGAGCUUGCUCUUACGGGUGGCGAGUGGAGGACGGGUGAGGAAUACAUCGGAAUUUACUUAUACGGGGGGGAAAACGUAGGGAAACUUACGCUAAUACCGCUUACGACCUUCGGGUGAAAGCAGGGGAACUUCGGACCUUGCGCGAUUGAAUGAGGCGAUGUCGGAUUAGCUAGUUGGGGGGGUAAAGGCGCACCACGGCGACGAUCCGUAGCGGGUCUGAGAGGAUGAUCAGCCACACUGGAACUGAGACACGGUCCAGACUCCUGCGGUAGGCAGCAGUGGGGAAUAUUGGACUAUGGGCGCAAGCCUGAUCCAGCCAUACCGCGUGGGUGAAGAAGUCCUUCGGGUUUUAAAGCCCUUUUGUUUGGAAAGAAAAGCAGCAGGGUAAUACCCCGCUGUUCUGACGGUACCCAAAGAAUAAGCACCGGCUAACUUCGUG
rnacentral:rRNA from 1 species